CGAAGAUGUUGCUGGAUGGCCAAGGCCCACCCCCUCCCUGAAACCUGUCACAGACACCAGGAACCUGAGGGAGAGGUUUUAGGCAGUCCUGAGGCCUCACUCACCUUCCAUGGGCUGCUCCUCUGAAGGAAGACAAGAAACAAGAACUGAGGCCUGAACUACUCAUAAGCCCUAGAGAAGAUGAGGAAAGUGAGUCUCAGCCUAUCAUCCCAAAGCUG